GAUGAACGCUGGCGGCGUGCCUAAUACAUGCAAGUCGAGCGAACAGACGAGGAGCUUGCUCCUCUGACGUUAGCGGCGGACGGGUGAGUAACACGUGGAUAACCUACCUAUAAGACUGGGAUAACUUCGGGAAACCGGAGCUAAUACCGGAUAAUAUAUUGAACCGCAUGGUUCAAUAGUGAAAGACGGUUUUGCUGUCACUUAUAGAUGGAUCCGCGCCGCUUUAGCUAGUUGGUAAGGUAACGGCUUACCAAGGGGACGAUGCGUAGCCGACCUGGGAGGGUGAUCGGCCACACUGGAACUGAGACACGGUCAAGACUCCUACGGGAGGCAGCAGUAGGGAAUCUUCCGCAAUGGGCGAAAGCCUGACGGAGCAACGCCGCGUGAGUGAUGAAGGUCUUCGGAUCGUAAAACUCUGUUAUUAGGGAAGACCAAAUGUGUAAGUAACUAUGCACGUCUUGACGGUACCUAAUCAGAAAGCCACGGCUAACUACGUG
rnacentral:rRNA from 1 species